GAUGAACGCUGGCGGCGUGCUUAACACAUGCAAGUCGAGCGAAGCACUUUACUUGGAUUUCUUCGGAAUGACGAGUAUUGUGACUGAGCGGCGGACGGGUGAGUAGCGCGGGGGUAACCUGCCUCAUACAGGGGGAUAACAGAUAGAAAUGACUGCUAAUACCGCAUAAGACAACAGCACCGCAUGGGGCAGUGGUAAAAACUCCGGUGGUAUGAGAUGGACCCGCGUCUGAUUAGCUAGUUGGUGGGGUAACGGCCUACCAAGGCGACGAUCAGUAGCCGGCCUGAGAGGGCGACCGGCCACAUUGGGACUGAGACACGGCCCAAACUCCUACGGGAGGCAGCAGUGGGGAAUAUUGCACAAUGGGGGAAACCCUGAUGCAGCGACGCCGCGUGAAGGGAGAAGUAUUUCGGUAUGUAAACUUCUAUCAGCAGGGAAGAAAAUGACGGUACCUGACUAAGAAGCCCCGGCUAACUACGUGCCAGCCGCCGCAGUAA
rnacentral:rRNA from 1 species